rnacentral:tRNA from 1 species
GUCUUUUUAGUAUAAAAAUACAAAUGACUUCCAAUUAUUAGAUCUUGGCUAAGAAAAGACA